rnacentral:rRNA from 1 species
AUGACCAAGGCACUGGCUGAUAAAUACCUAGAUUUGUCAGCGAUUUUGGGUGUUGAUAGAAGUGAUCACUUCCACUUCUUAAUUCAGAGUAUCCUAAAGAGAGUAAGUAGGUGGGAAGAUAAGUUGUUGUCCACGGGUGGCAAAGAAGUCCUCCUAAAGGUGAUUGCUCAAACUAUAUCGAUGUAUGCAAUGUCCGUUUUUAAAAUCCCAAACGUGUGUAAAGGGAUUAUUGACGUGAUGUCACAAUAUUGGUGGGGUGAUGGCACACCGGAAGAAGAUGCACUGUAUAACAUGGUGAAAAUGUGCAUUUCAAAAAUGAGAAGAGGUAUGGGGUUCAGAGAUAUACAUUGCCUCAACCUUGCUCUGUUUGCUAAACAAGAGUGGUAACAAAUCGAGAACUUAUAUUCUCUUUGUGCUAUAGUGCUACGAGAAAGAUACUAUCCUUGUGGAGACCGUUUGACCGCGGAGGCGAAAAAGGUAGCUCCUAUACAUGGCAGAGCAUAUGUUAAGGGAUCAAAACUGUCAAAAAAUGUCAUAUAUGGCGUGUCGAUGAUGGUCACAGUAUAG